rnacentral:lncRNA from 1 species
AUUUCGGCUCGAAGGGCCCUAAUAGAACGCUCUAUUUCAGAAUCAAAAGGUAUUAAUUCAGGAGAUCUGGAACGACACCCUAGCAUACACUAAAACUCUUCUGAUCAAUCAAGUGCAGUCAAGCAUGCAUUAAAAGAAAAACACAUCAAAUCCUUGUGUUUGCCCUAAAAUCACUAGACAGCUCCUAACUGGUUUGAAGAGGGCACCUAAGCCUCCAAUCCGGUCUAAUGAACUGAGUUGACCAGAUAAGCUCCCAGGUAAGUGGGGGGUCAUGAUGCGUUGCAAAGGUCCCACUUAAAAAUUACUUGCCUCGAACAGAUGAACUGUCUCCCUUGGGACAAAGCUUGCCUAGACAUCAACUGAGCCACAGAGCGAAAUUGGUGCAACUUUCGGUGAUCUUCGUCCUAUUGAGCUCGAAUGUCCCUAGGAGCCAACGUCUAAUUGAUUUUAAUUAAAGUGAUAGCUAUGUACGAAUUGGUUCACCUAAUUUGGGCAAGAAUCUGAUGAUGAAAUCCAGUUCUUAUCUUGUUGGGGUGAUUGCCCUUACUAUGUGUGGAUUAAUUGGUGUAUGUGUAUCAAGCAUGCAUUCACACUUUUGCUGAAAUUAAAAUCAAACAAUCACCACAAAAUUUCAAGUUAAUUGGGAAUUGUGGAGUGAUUGAUUAAAACCCCAUUUGAUUUUGAUGAGCUCAAAGCAUUUGAGUAUAUCUUGUGAUUACUA